AUGUCUGUGGACGGUGUAUAUUUGUUGAUGUAUUUGCAAAGAAACAGCCCGUGGAAAGGUCCAAAGGGACUGAUAGAACUUGGAUUUCCUGGGAAGACUCUGUCGCGUUUGCUAAUCCUUCCCUCUUCGCCGUGUCCUCCGCCUAAGCCUUGGGUUCCACAGUUAGGGCUUGGCUGGGAGAGGUUUGAUGGGAAGCAGCUUUUUGGAAGCCUCCCGAGGACCACGGCCGAGCCCUCAAGGUCAUCUCUUGGUGAGGCUCUGCAGUUCGUAAAGUGGCGAUUUGGCCUCUGUCAUGCUGACGCUGGAGGCAACCAGGCCCCAGAGCCUCUCCUGGCGGGCAUCCUGAACGCCAGAAGCUUAGGCACAACUUCAGGGAAGAAAACAUUCUGGAAAUGAUGAGAAAACUGUGAGGGAGUUGCAACUGUAAACAGCAAAUGUGCUAAAGACCAGAGACUUAUGCAGAGCUAAAAGAGGGCAGGUGGAGCUGUUCUCAGUUUUUUACAUGUGAAGAAAACAUUGGGCUGACUCCAUUCUGAAUUCUGCAGAGCUAAAAUGUGCCUUCAUGACUGUUGUUGUUUUAUUUAACACAAGCACCCGGGGCUGCGUGAGGAUCAGGGCUUGAUGAGCCAAAGGAUUCUGAGAAAAAAGGUGAACAGCUGUGGUUCUUGUCAAACACAAACUCUUAAUCGUUGCUUAAUCAUUCCCCCAUAUUAGACAUUUGUGUUAUUUUAAUUGUUUUGCUAUCGCAAAUAGCAUUGUAAUGAAAACCUUUGUGCACCUAACUUAUUCUUUUGCACUGUUUCCUUUACAUAAUUUCCUAAGAGUGGGAUUACUGAUUAAAGACUAUGAACAUUUUAGUCUCUUGAAAUAUUGCCAAAAAUGUCUCCAACUGGUUGAACCAAUUGACACUACCUUCAUAUGAAUGUACCAAUUUUGCUACAAUCUUGCCAGCAUUAUGUAUUACAGCUUAUGUAUUUUGCUACAACUUUGCCAGCAUUAUGUAUUACCCUGCCACCCCCGCCUCAAAAUAUGGUGAUUUAAAUAAUUCUAUACUUGAAUCUAGUUCUCCUAACUCUAUGCUCAGUAUCUUCCCCCUCACUCCAGCAUCUCUCUCUCUUGCCCGUCUGAAUGACUUGAACUAAGAUGACAAGAAUACAUGAGAAGAAAGGUAAUCCUGGUUGGGCACAGUGGCUUAUACCUGUAAGGUGGGUGGAUCACCUGAGGUCAGGAGUUCGAGACCAUCCUGGUUAAUAUGGUGAAACCCCAUCUCUACUAAAAAUAUAAAAAAUUAGCCAGGUGUGGUGGUGGGCGCCUGUGAUCCCAGCUACUAGGGAGGCUGAGGCAGGAGAAUCACUUGAACUUGGGAGGUGGAGGUUGCAGUGAGCCAAGAUCGUGCCACUGCACUCCAGCCUAGGCAAUAAGAGCAAAAUUCCAUCUCAAAAUAAAUAAAUAAAUAAAUAAAUAAAUAAAUUAAUUAAUUAAAAUAAAGAAGAGGAAAAAAAGGAAAAAAGAAAGAAAGGUAAUCCUAAAGCAGUGCACAUCUGCCAUGUUUGGCAAGAUUUGUGAAGACAUCUGUAACAGAAUGUGCAGUGUGUGAGGGCC
rnacentral:lncRNA from 1 species